AGAUAAAUAGAAGCAUGAGUGAAAGGAGGCGUAGGAAAAAAAAUCAGAGGUAUGAAAUUAAACAUCAACAAUAACGAAAAUUUGGUGAUUUCCCAACAGCUAAUGAUGAGGAAUCAUAGUUCCGAUAGGUUCCUGUUUUGCUGUUUUCCAUGCCUUUCUGUUGAACAUUGAAGUUUUUUUUUUUUUUUUUAAAUAUUUGACUCAUAAUUUGUUUUAAAAGGUUACUAAAGGUUUUUGAAAAGAAUGUGAAGUCCAUCUCUUACUGGCACCUCAAAGCUAUUUUCAUGUUGUUGCAAAUCAGGUGAUUGAUGAAAGGCCUCAAUGGUUUUUGUUAUUUCCCUUUUAGAUUUUUCAAUUCAAAUGAGACAAACAUACAUCAAGGGUGCAGUCUUACCAUUUUAGACUCAGGACUUUCGUUUUCCUCUUUGAUCUUUAUCGUUUGUUUACUUUUAAAUAAUCAUGUUGGCAACAUUAAUAGUGUAACCUGAUGUAUCAUUUGCAGUCUCUUUUGAAUUAAUCAUGUUCAGGAAUUAGAUUUCAGUUUGAGGAUCAUGUUGGCAACAUUAAUAGGGUAAAAGGGUCUUUAUAUAUGGAUGGAAUGUUGUGGUGGUUGAUUGAACAUCAAAAAUCCAGGGUGGGAAAAAACACUUUUUGUUUAAUUAUUUGUUCAGUUUUCAUAGUUAAAAAUUUCGCAUUUCAUUUUCAAGACUGUUAGACAUGUGCGUGCUUUGAUGAGGGGAGGGGUGACAACUUGGAAUGUGUGUGUGGAUCAUCAGGCAUCAAGUAUGUGUUUGUUUGUGUAUCGAUGUGUAUAUGUAUGUGCAACUAUGUAUAUGGUUUAUAUGAUAUUUGACUGUAUCUAUAAGGGGAAUGUGGUUGUGGCAGGGAAGGGGAUGGGUAUAUUGGUCAUUUUAAACUA